CUAGUUGCCUUCUGAAGAGCCUGGAGUUUGAGGACAAGAUAAAACAUAACAGUGGAUUAUUUUGAAAUAAGUGUUCACAUGUGAUGGUAACAAAAAUUUUUAACGUGUGCAUGCCAUCUUCCUCACUUUUGCCCUGCUUUUCUCCUUGCCGCUGACCUCCAAGGAGAAUUCUUUCAGUUCCUAUGUAACUUUCAUGCUACUUUGGCUCAACGAAUUUAAAAAACAAAAACGCUGAAAAAGGGAGGAUGUAGUAUUUACUUUGGGAAGUGAAAAAAGAAUAGUGAUAAAAGAAAGUGAGAGAGGAAGGGGAGACAAACCCCUCAGGGCGGUGAGCUGAGGAGAGCGCUCAGUGGGGAGUUGAGCAUAUCAGACAGGAAGGUUUUUAGGAGAUGCUGCUGUCCAUGUGGGGAAUACUAAGAGUUAUAAAGAUGGGGAGAGUGGAUAUUUCAGACGAUUUAUGGUUUUCAAAGUCUGUCUCUUGUUGUCAUUUCUAAGAGGACAUCUUUUAACGAUUUGAAUGUCUUUUAAUUCCCUCUGGUUACUCUACUGUGUUUCUUUGACCACAAGUCUGAGCUGAGCCUGGAUCACGCGGGCUGGCUGUUCUGCGGCUUACUCUACAUUUCUAGCACACAUCAGGUUGCCAAGCACCGGAAACUCUUGUGGUCAUUUUGCGGAUCUCCUGGUGGGGAGUUUGCACCAGGCCAUCUUUCCAGUGAGUGCAAGGAUGGACGUGAGCCAUGAUGGAGACUGAUCCUGAGAAGGUGGGAGUCCCGUACUCUCAGCUUCUGAGACGCGGCAGAGGCGGACUCGGACGCUGUGCAGAAGCCCCGGCCGGCUCUGCCCGCGAGCGCUUGGGCCGCAGCUGCUGACGGGACUUGAAUUCCCCGGGACCCAGCUCUCACAGGCGGACUCUGCUCGGGACCAGUGCUUACAGCUAUAUUUCACAACGCUGGUGGCACUUCAGUCAUAAGUGACGGGAUUUCGAGGGAAAGUACGGCAUUAUAGCAGUUACCUUAGGAACCUCACCAUGGAGAUAACUGCCUACUUCAUUUACAAUUUCGAACUUUCAUGAUUCUGUUUAUUUGUUGAUUUCCUCCUUUAAAAAAGAAUUGGUAACAGCUAUGAUGUUUUUCUAGGUACUUAACACUUUUUUAAAUUUAAUAACUGAAGUAUUUUGAGAAUAACAGUUCCUCAGUAUUUCUUAGUCUUUGUAUAUGUCACUUCUUUGAUCUUUUUCAAAUUUAGCUCCUUGAGAAAAACUUUUGCAGUAUAAAUGUUUUCUGAAGAUUUACCCUGCCUUUCAAAAAUCAAAGUAUUUAAAUAUAUAUCUUAUUUAAAUAUAUGUACUAAAAGAUAUGCAUUUUGAAUACUUUAGAAAUUAAAAUAAACAGGUUAAAACAAUUCA
rnacentral:lncRNA from 1 species